UGAUAACAAAGGUGAAUGCAGCUGCCCUAGGGGAUUCACCGGCCACCAUUGCCAACUCGUUGUGUGCGAGGAACCCUGGGUGAAAAAGAGCAAAGUGUGUGAAUGUCAACCGGGACUAGAUGGACCCAACUGCACAGAAGUAUGUAAUUGCUUGAAUGACGGUCAGUGCACUGACGAUGGCAGUUGCAACUGCCGGAACGGUUUCCAUGGAGACAAGUGUCAG